UACGAAGGGGGCUAGCGUUGCUCGGAAUCACUGGGCGUAAAGGGCGCGUAGGCGGCCAUCUAAGUCAGACGUGAAAUCCCUCGGCUCAACCGAGGAACUGCGUCUGAUACUGGAAGGCUUGAAUCCGGGAGAGGGAUGUGGAAUUCCAGGUGUAGCGGUGAAAUGCGUAGAUAUCUGGAGGAACACCGGUGGCGAAGGCGGCAUCCUGGACCGGUAUUGACGCUGAGGCGCGAAAGCUAGGGGAGCAAACGGG
rnacentral:rRNA from 1 species